GGGGAUUUAGCUCAGUGGCAUAAGCACCUGCCUUGCAAGCAGGCGUUGUGAGUUCGAUCCCCA
rfam:Cavia porcellus supercont2_13 genomic scaffold, whole genome shotgun sequence.